GACGAACGCUGGCGGCGUGCUUAACACAUGCAAGUCGAACGGAAAGGCCCUGCUUUUGUGGGGGGCUCGAGUGGCGAACGGGUGAGUAACACGGGAGUAACCUGCCCUUGACUUUGGGAUAACUUCAGGAAACUGGGGCUAAUACCGGAUAGGAGCUCCUGCUGCAUGGUGGGGGUUGGAAAGUGUCGGCGGUUGGGGAUGGACUCGCGGCUUAUCAGCUUGUUGGUGGGGUAGUGGCUUACCAAGGCUUUGACGGGUAGCCGGCCUGAGAGGGUGACCGGCCACAUUGGGACUGAGAUACGGCCCAGACUCCUACGGGAGGCAGCAGUGGGGAAUAUUGCACAAUGGGCGGAAGCCUGAUGCAGCAACGCCGCGUGCGGGAUGACGGCCUUCGGGUUGUAAUCAGCUUUCACCUGUGACGAAGCGUGAGUGACGGUAAUGGGUAAAGAAGCACCGGCUAACUACGUG
rnacentral:rRNA from 1 species